UACGUAGGAUCCAAGCGUUGUCCGGAUUUACUGGGUGUAAAGGGUGCGCAGGCGGACUUAUAAGUCAGUGGUGAAAUCUCACAGCUUAACUGUGAAACUGCCUUUGAUACUGUAGGUCUUGAAUUAGGGAGAGAUUCGUGGAAUUCCGAGUGUAGCAGUGAAAUGUGUAGAUAUUCGGAAGAACACCAGAGGCGAAGGCAGCGAAUUGGCCCUAUAUUGACGCUCAGGCACGAAAGCAGGGGGAUCAAACAGG
rnacentral:rRNA from 1 species